rnacentral:rRNA from 1 species
CGGGACACGUGGUAUCCUGUCUGAAUAUGGGGGGACCAUCCUCCAAGGCUAAAUACUCCUGACUGACCGAUAGUGAACCAGUACCGUGAGGGAAAGGCGAAAAGAACCCCGGCGAGGGGAGUGAAAAAGAACCUGAAACCGUGUACGUACAAGCAGUGGGAGCACGCUUAGGCGUGUGACUGCGUACCUUUUGUAUAAUGGGUCAGCGACUUAUAUUCUGUAGCAAGGUUAACCGAAUAGGGGAGCCGAAGGGAAACCGAGUCUUAACUGGGCGUUAAGUUGCAGGGUAUAGACCCGAAACCCGGUGAUCUAGCCAUGGGCAGGUUGAAGGUUGGGUAACACUAACUGGAGGACCGAACCGACUAAUGUUGAAAAAUUAGCGGAUGACUUGUGGCUGGGGGUGAAAGGCCAAUCAAACCGGGAGAUAGCUGGUUCUCCCCGAAAGCUAUUUAGGUAGCGCCUCGUGAAUUCAUCUCCGGGGGUAGAGCACUGUUUCGGCAAGGGGGUCAUCCCGACUUACCAACCCGAUGCAAACUGCGAAUACCGGAGAAUGUUAUCACGGGAGACACACGGCGGGUGCUAACGUCCGUCGUGAAGAGGGAAACAACCCAGACCGCCAGCUAAGGUCCCAAAGUCAUGGUUAAGUGGGAAACGAUGUGGGAAGGCCCAGACAGCCAGGAUGUUGGCUUAGAAGCAGCCAUCAUUUAAAGAAAGCGUAAUAGCUCACUGGUCGAGUCGGCCUGCGCGGAAGAUGUAACGGGGCUAAACCAUGCACCGAAGCUGCGGCAGCGACGCUGAUGCGUUGUUGGGUAGGGGAGCGUUCUGUAAGCCUGUGAAGGUGUGCUGUGAGGCAUGCUGGAGGUAUCAGAAGUGCGAAUGCUGACAUAAGUAACGAUAAAGCGGGUGAAAAGCCCGCUCGCCGGAAGACCAAGGGUUCCUGUCCAACGUUAAUCGGGGCAGGGUGAGUCGACCCCUAAGGCGAGGCCGAAAGGCGUAGUCGAUGGGAAACAGGUUAAUAUUCCUGUACUUGGUGUUACUGCGAAGGGGGGACGGAGAAGGCUAUGUUGGCCGGGCGACGGUUGUCCCGGUUUAAGCGUGUAGGCUGGUUUUCCAGGCAAAUCCGGAAAAUCAAGGCUGAGGCGUGAUGACGAGGCACUACGGUGCUGAAGCAACAAAUGCCCUGCUUCCAGGAAAAGCCUCUAAGCAUCAGGUAACAUCAAAUCGUACCCCAAACCGACACAGGUGGUCAGGUAGAGAAUACCAAGGCGCUUGAGAGAACUCGGGUGAAGGAACUAGGCAAAAUGGUGCCGUAACUUCGGGAGAAGGCACGCUGAUAUGUAGGUGAAGCGACUUGCUCGUGGAGCUGAAAUCAGUCGAAGAUACCAGCUGGCUGCAACUGUUUAUUAAA